GACGUAGGGCGCGAGCGUUGUCCGGAUUUAUUGGGCGUAAAGAGCUCGUAGGCGGCUUGUUGUGUCGAUCGUGAAAACUUGGGGCUUAACCCUGAGCUUGCGGUUGAUACGGGCAGGCUAGAGUUCGGUAGGGGAGACUGGAAUUCCUGGUGUAGCGGUGAAAUGCGCAGAUAUCAGGAGGAACACCGGUGGCGAAGGCGGGUCUCUGGGCCGAUACUGACGCUGAGGAGCGAAAGCGUGGGGAGCGAACAGG
rnacentral:rRNA from 1 species